rnacentral:lncRNA from 1 species
CCAAGGGGCCUGCCGGCGCCUGCUCUCCUUUCGGAGCGCUAAUCUGACCUCAAGAAAACUUUAGCUGGGCGAGGGAACGAGGCUGCUCCAAAAGAGUACGGCUCCCUUGCGUAAGGCCUUAAGCAUAUGUGUUGAUCAGCCGCAAGUUAACAAUUUUGAAUUAAACUGAAUGGUGUGCCAGAAGAGCUCCCAGAUAGAGACAGCCGGAGGUCCCAAGCCCAGCCAGAAUCACCUCCUGCAGCACCUAAUGCUAAAGUACAAAAGUAUCAGAAAAGGUUAUUUGAUGUGUUGCUGCAGGGAGCCUCUGGGAGUCCAAGGGUGGAGAGAUCUGCCUUCAUCUGAAGAUCUCUGCUAA